rnacentral:rRNA from 1 species
UACAGAGGGUGCGAGCGUUGUUCGGAAUUAUUGGGCGUAAAGGGCGCGUAGGCGGUGCGGUAAGUCACCUGUGAAAUCUCCUGGCUCAACUGGGAGCUUGCAGGCGAAACUGCCGUGCUGGAGUGUGGGAGAGGUGCGUGGAAUUCCCGGUGUAGCGGUGAAAUGCGUAGAGAUCAGCAGGAACACCCGUGGCGAAGGCGGCUUCCUGGGCCGCGCCUGACGCUGAGGAGCGAAAGCGUGGGUAGCAAACAGG